rnacentral:ncRNA from 1 species
AUUGCAUUUGGGGUUCAAGGGUGUUAUAGCCAUGCCCGAAGUCGUUACCUUAACCGCAAGGAGGGGGAUGCCGAAGGCAGGGCUAGUGACUGGAGUGAAGUCGUAACAAGGUAGUCGUACUGGAAGGUGCGACCA